GUAGGUGGCAAGCGUUGUCCGGAAUUAUUGGGCGUAAAGCGCGCGCAGGCGGUCCUUUAAGUCUGAUGUGAAAGCCCACGGCUCAACCGUGGAGGGUCAUUGGAAACUGGGGGACUUGAGUACAGAAGAGGAAAGCGGAAUUCCAAGUGUAGCGGUGAAAUGCGUAGAGAUUUGGAGGAACACCAGUGGCGAAGGCGGCUUUCUGGUCUGUAACUGACGCUGAGGCGCGAAAGCGUGGGGAGCGAACAGGAUUAGAUACCCUGGUAGUCCACGCCGUAAACGAUGAGUGCUAAGUGUUAGGGGGUUUCCCGCCCCCCUUAGUGCUGCAGCUAACGCAUUAAGCACUCCGCCUGGGGAGUACGGCCGCAAGGCUG
rnacentral:rRNA from 1 species